rfam:Brassica napus, WGS project CCCW01000000 data, contig: 22382
UAGCCAUGGUGAGGACAUUCAAGUUGGUAGCUCUUGAAUCUCUCCCAAGCAUUUCUGAAUGAUUCCCGUGGGUUUUGAUGGAACGUGGAGAUUUUCCUCCGUGCAU